UACGUAGGCAGCGAGCGUUGUUCGGAGUUACUGGGCGUAAAGGGUGUGUAGGCGGUUGUUUAAGUUUGGUGUGAAAUCUCCCGGCUCAACUGGGAGGGUGCGCCGAAUUACUGAAUGACUAGAGUGCGGGAGAGGUGAGUGGAAUUCCUGGUGUAGCGGUGAAAUGCGUAGAUAUCAGGAGGAACACCGGUGGUGUAGACGGCUCACUGGACCGUAACUGACGCUGAGACACGAAAGCGUGGGUAGCAAACAGG
rnacentral:rRNA from 1 species